GAUGAACGCUGGCGGCGUGCCUAAUACAUGCAGGUCGAGCGAACAGACGAGGAGCUUGCUCCUCUGACGUUAGCGGCGGACGGGUGAGUAACACGUGGAUAACCUACCUAUAAGACUGGGAUAACUUCGGGAAACCGGAGCUAAUACCGGAUAAUAUAUUGAACCGCAUGGUUCAAUAGUGAAAGACGGUUUUGCUGUCACUUAUAGAUGGAUCCGCGCCGCAUUAGCUAGUUGGUAAGGUAACGGCUUACCAAGGCAACGAUGCGUAGCCGACCUGAGAGGGUGAUCGGCCACACUGGAACUGAGACACGGUCCAGACUCCUACGGGAGGCAGCAGUAGGGAAUCUUCCGCAAUGGGCGAAAGCUUGACGGAGCAACGCCGCGUGAGUGAUGAAGGUCUUCGGAUCGUAAAACUCUGUUAUUAGGGAAGAACAAAUGUGUAAGUAACUAUGCACGUCUUGACGGUACCUAAUCAGAAAGCCACGGCUAACUACGUG
rnacentral:rRNA from 1 species